UACGUAGGGUGCAAGCGUUGUCCGGAAUUAUUGGGCGUAAAGGGCUCGUAGGCGGUCUGUCACGUCGGGAGUGAAAACUCAGGGCUUAACCCUGAGCCUGCUUCCGAUACGGGCAGACUAGAGGUAUGCAGGGGAGAACGGAAUUCCUGGUGUAGCGGUGAAAUGCGCAGAUAUCAGGAGGAACACCGAUUGCGAAGGCAGCUCGCUGGGACGUUACUGACGCUGAGACGCGAAAGCGUGGGGAGCAAACAGG
rnacentral:rRNA from 1 species